AGAAACUCCUAAAAAACUGCGCUGAUUUUCGGGUGAUAAUCUUUUCCUUGUGUUUGAUAUUUUUUUAGCUAGCUUAGCAACUUGCUAAUGUGAAUUGUCCCAAUAAUUUGAAAGGAGGUUUCUUGGAAAGAUCUACUUAAGGAUACCUUAGGGCAAGAGGAUGUCUUGAUUUGAACAAAGAAAAAGGGACAUUUUACCUGCGGCACCAUGCAAAUUCGCGCUCAGGAAAUGAUACUUGCACUACAUGACGGGUGGCAUGCAGAAAGUCUCUGUUGCUAGCAUUAUUGACCGAUUAUAUUUUCUAUGGAUGAACUGGUUGCUGGGCUAUCUGUAAGACGGAUUGACGGAGUAUCUAACCAAGUACGGACUGAUUGACUUUCUGACCGACUGAGCGACUGUUUGACUGGACACUUUCGUCUUAUUGCGGACCCUUACGUCCCUGUUUUGAAAAGUUCCUCCACCUAUUUCACUCUCCUUUCUUCGUCCAAUUUUUUGAUACCAGCGUCAGGUUUUAGACGGCUUCGUUCCAUUUUGGAAAUUUGCAUCCGUUGUUGUCUAGGACUCUAGCUCUCCUUGUGGGUUGUUCCUUCCGGGUUUUUGGCGAAAGGAGACUGGUGAUAGACGAGAGAAUACAAAAUGGCAGUAUCCCUCGUAGAGAGGAAAGAGACUGGAGGGCGUUAUCGAUUUUACUUUAGGUUCAUAUAAUCUACAAGAUCGAUCAUGACUGCUGAAAACCCUUUUGUCUUGCUGUUCUUGACUUUAAAAGGACGCGUUUCCUCGCUUCGGUUAUAUUUGCAUGGAAGGAGAGUGCCAACGGAGAGCUCAUCCCUACACGAGGAGUAGCUAACGUUCAUGUGAACCACAUCCAUUUUGGCCUUCAUCACGCGUCACGUGUAAACCCAUUGCCACUCUCAUAGAGCUUGAAGCAUUUACUAUCAUUGUUGGAAACUUGACGUAUUCUGCAGGAUUCUGCGCUCGACUACUUCUAAAAGUAUGAUUUCUACUACGACUGUUUCCUUAACUCUGGUUAAGAGGCCCAAAUAUGGAGAUACUAGCGGGCUUCUGUAAAAUACCAGUAGCUUCACAUGAGGACUGCGGAAGAGAGAAUCACGUGGACUGUAAACUCUGCGAAGUCAAACAUGGAUUCAAAUAUCCGCUCAUUUGCAAAAACAUUGACAACCAAAAGGGAAUAGAGAGACGGAAAUGGAAACUGUUACGUAAUAAAAGGACUGGAAACAGGGACUAGGAAAUGAAUGAAGUGAAGUAAAAAAAAUCAGCU